rnacentral:lncRNA from 1 species
UUGGUUCAAAGCCAGUGUAUUUUUCACCAAUUUACUGUUAUCAAAUGAAUAUCGUUAAUUUUUUAACGCCGCCGGGGUAUAUGCUAAAAGGAUAUGCAUUUUUUACCCUCUCUGCCGUGGUAUUUGCCAAAAAAUAAUCUAUCCGACUGGACGCUUGUAACGUCACGAUCAUCAAUGCGUUUUUGAACAUUAACAUUUGGUGUAAUUAAACAGAUA